rnacentral:rRNA from 1 species
UACGUAGGGGGCUAGCGUUGUCCGGAAUCAUUGGGCGUAAAGAGCGCGUAGGCGGCCAGAUAAGUCCGGUGUGAAAGUCACAGGCUCAACCUGUGAAUGCCGCUGGAAACUGUCUGGCUAGAGUCCGGGAGGGGCGAGUGGAAUUCCAGGUGUAGCGGUGAAAUGCGUAGAUAUCUGGAGGAAUACCGGUGGCGAAGGCGGCAUCCUGGACCGGCAUUGACGCUGAGGAGCGAAAGCCAGGGGAGCAAAGCAGGG